rnacentral:lncRNA from 1 species
CUAUACUUACCCGUGGACGUAACAUAAAUUAGGUGAAUCACGUAAAUAACUGCGUCCAUUUUUAACUUUAUUUUCUCAAUUCCAUUAUUUUUCAGCCAAAUUCGACCCCAGCGUUUUCUCCCAACAUACACUGUGUGUACGGAAGAACAUGAGGGCUUCAGAAGCCCUCUAGAUUACACACAAACAUGCCAGAGUCCUUUCUGUAGAAAUGGAUUUUUUCCAAAAAGAAAAAGGGACUGGAUUCGUGCUGCCUAAAAUCCACAAGUCAGAUCUUUUUCCCCUAAAAGUUAAAAUCCCAAUAUUCAAUCGAAUUCCAGUUUCAGUUCAUUCUCUCUUCAUAAAAAAGGUUACAAAUCACUUACAAGUCAACAACCCCAUUACUCAUAAAUAGGUAAAAAAUACUUUCACUUUUUCUUGUUUUAAUUUCCAAAAGUAAAUCGUUUUGUCUGUUUCAAUUGAUUGUAAUUCUUGUCGAACAAAAUGGUGGUUUUAUUUUUAUCUUGGUGGGUUUCUUUUGAAAUUUUAUUGUUGAUGGGUCAAGAUUUUAUUUUAUUUUUUAAAAUUCAACAGGAGAGGUGUAGAGAUGCAGCAACCGGGACAGAUGUUCCCAGUUAUGUCUUCAUUUCCACCUGCUAGUAUUACUACCGAGCAGAUUCAGAAGGUAUUCGUGUUUUGGUUUAUUUAUUUCUUUAAAUUGACGAAAAUUUUUGAUAUUUGCUUUAUUGGAAUAUGUUUGUGAGUAAUAAUGCUAGUCUGAUUAUCAUUUUUCCCCCUUUCUGUAUGGUGAUUAACUUAGUUAUGAGUUAUCUGGCCUAUCUAUCGUAAAUCUUCGCUGAAUAAUGAUUCAGCCAAGUAAAUAGUGGAAUUACUACUUCAAGGUGUAUAGAAGUAACCAUGGUUUAAAUUUUAGUUGAAAAUGCAAGUAUGUGGACGUAGACAUAAUCAGAAUUGCACCUUUGUUUCGUUUAGGAUGAAUAUAGAUUUAUGUACUUGAAUGAAUCUUUGCUUGGUCACCUCUAACUGUGUACAGUUGCUUAUAAGCUUUACCUGUCAAAAUUAUUCCAAGAUGAUGUAGGUUCCAUUUAACUAAUCGUCCACAAAUUCAUAUCUAAAUUGCAUUGAAGAACUUACCUUCCUUUUUGUGCACAAA